UACGUAGGAUCCAAGCGUUGUCCGGAAUUACUGGGUGUAAAGGGCGUGUAGGUGGGCUUCUAAGUCGGUGGUGAAAUCCUGCAGCUUAACUGUAGAACUGCCAUUGAUACUGGAAGUCUUGAGUACGGCAGAGGGAGAUAGAAUUCAUGGUGUAGCGGUGAAAUGUGUAGAUAUCAUGAAGAAUACCAGUUGCGAAGGCGGUCUCCUGGUCCGUUACUGACACUGAGGCGCGAAAGCGUGGGGAGCAAACAGGAUUAGAUACCCUGGUAGUCCACGCCUUAAACGAUGGGUACUAGGUGCUGGUCCCGUUCGGCACUCGUGCGAACGAGUGUGGAACGGGGUCAGUGCCAAAGUUAACGCAUUAAGUACCCCACCUGGGGAGUACGAUCGCAAGGUUGAA
rnacentral:rRNA from 1 species